rnacentral:misc_RNA from 1 species
AAGUCGUAACAAGGUUUCCGUAGGUGGACCUGCCGAAGGAUCAUUAACACGUAUCCAAACGUUAAAACCCCCCCCGUGAACCUUCAUCCUGCUCUUGUAACCCGCGUAGUUCGCAAUCUCUGAUAAAUCAUAGCCCGGAAAGUUGUAGUGACUCAGAGACCUCUGGCUACGUGCGAACAUUGGAACAGUUACAAACGAGCGGUAGUUCUAUAGGCAAUGCAGUCAGUGUCGGAAGGUGUCAUUGAUUGUGCAAGGAUAGCGCUUCUACGAUUCGUACACAGUUUAAUGUGAAGCUCAAUGUAAUACAUUGGGUCAAAAAACCGAACACUCUC